rnacentral:rRNA from 1 species
GUGGGGGAUAUUGCACAAUGGGGGAAACCCUGAUGCAGCAACGCCGCGUGAAGGAAGAAGGUCUUCGGAUUGUAAACUUUUGUCUUGUGGGAAGAUAAUGACGGUACCACAGGAGGAAGCUCCGGCUAACUACGUGCCAGCAGCCGCGGUAAUACGUAGGGAGCGAGCGUUGUCCGGAUUUACUGGGUGUAAAGGGUGCGUAGGCGGCUAGACAAGUCAGGUGUGAAAUACCGCAGCUCAACUGCGGGGCUGCACUUGAAACUGUAGAGCUUGAGUGAUGGAGAGGUAAGCGGAAUUCCUAGUGUAGCGGUAAAAUGCGUAGAUAUUAGGAGGAACACCAGUGGCGAAGGCGGCUUACUGGACAUUAACUGACGCUGAGGCACGAAAGCGUGGGGAGCAAACAGGAUUAGAAACCCUUGUAGUCC